GAUGAACGCUGGCGGCGUGCCUAAUACAUGCAAGUCGAGCGAACGGACGAGAAGCUUGCUUCUCUGAUGUUAGCGGCGGACGGGUGAGUAACACGUGGAUAACCUACCUAUAAGACUGGGAUAACUUCGGGAAACCGGAGCUAAUACCGGAUAAUAUUUUGAACCGCAUGGUUCAAAAGUAAAAGACGGUCUUGCUGUCACUUAUAGAUGGAUCCGCGCUGCAUUAGCUAGUUGGUAAGGUAAUGGCUUACCAAGGCAACGAUGCAUAGCCGACCUGAGAGGGUGAUCGGCCACACUGGAACUGAGACACGGUCCAGACUCCUACGGGAGGCAGCAGUAGGGAAUCUUCCGCAAUGGGCGAAAGCCUGACGGAGCAACGCCGCGUGAGUGAUGAAGGUCUUCGGAUCGUAAAACUCUGUUAUUAGGGAAGAAUAUAUGUGUAAGUAACUGUGCACAUCUUGACGGUACCUAAUCAGAAAGCCACGGCUAACUACGUGCCAGCAGCCGCGGUAAUACGUAGGUGGCAAGCGUUAUCCGGAAUUAUUGGGCGUAAAGCGCGCGUAGCGGUUUUUUAAGUCUGAUGUGAAAGCCCACGGCUCAACCGUGGAGGGUCAUUGGAAACUGGAAAACUUGAGUGCAGAAGAGGAAAGUGGAAUUCCAUGUGUAGCGGUGAAAUGCGCAGAGAUAUGGAGGAACACCAGUGGCGAAGGCGACUUUCUGGUCUGUAACUGACGCUGAUGUGCGAAAGCGUGGGGAUCAAACAGGAUUAGAUACCCUGGUAGUCCACGCCGUAAACGAUGAGUGCUAAGUGUUAGGGGGUUUCCGCCCCUUAGUGCUGCAGCUAACGCAUUAAGCACUCCGCCUGGGGAGUACGACCGCAAGGUUGAAACUCAAAGGAAUUGACGGGGACCCGCACAAGCGGUGGAGCAUGUGGUUUAAUUCGAAGCAACGCGAAGAACCUUACCAAAUCUUGACAUCCUUUGACAACUCUAGAGAUAGAGCCUUCCCCUUCGGGGGACAAAGUGACAGGUGGUGCAUGGUUGUCGUCAGCUCGUGUCGUGAGAUGUUGGGUUAAGUCCCGCAACGAGCGCAACCCUUAAGCUUAGUUGCCAUCAUUAAGUUGGGCACUCUAAGUUGACUGCCGGUGACAAACCGGAGGAAGGUGGGGAUGACGUCAAAUCAUCAUGCCCCUUAUGAUUUGGGCUACACACGUGCUACAAUGGACAAUACAAAGGGCAGCGAAACCGCGAGGUCAAGCAAAUCCCAUAAAGCUGUUCUCAGUUCGGAUUGUAGUCUGCAACUCGACUACAUGAAGCUGGAAUCGCUAGUAAUCGUAGAUCAGCAUGCUACGGUGAAUACGUUCCCGGGUCU
rnacentral:rRNA from 1 species